AUGGGCAGGGGAGGAACCGUAGCAGCGAUAUGCGGAGAUAGUACAGGCAUGUAUCUCGGCAGCUCUUGCAUUGUGAUCUAUGGAGUUCGGGAUGUGACAACCCUCGAAACAAUAGCGUACCGGGAGGCACUGUCUUUGGCGAAUAAUCUACUUCUCCACAACAUCAUUAUAGCUUCAGACACUAAACAGGCUAUGGAAGACAUAAUCAGUGAAAUCAAUCAUCGAACUACCAUGUUUAAUUGUAAAUUUUCUUUUGAAGGCCGCGCCACGAAUAGCGAGGCUCACAGUUUAGCUAAGUUGUCCCAUUCGUUAGGUCAGGGGCGCCAUCUAUGGCUUGUUACUCCCAUGAUCCUAGUUGUAUGCCACAAACUGUGGCUUUUGAUCAAUAAAAGUUAA
rnacentral:rRNA from 1 species